CACGCCGUAAACGAUGAGUGCUAGAUGUCGGAGGUAUUCACCCCCCCGGUAUCGUAGUCAACGCGUUAAGCACUCCGCCUGGGGAGUACGGCCGCAAGGUUGAAACUCAAAGGAAUUGACGGGGGCCCGCACAAGCGGUGGAGUAUGUGGUUUAAUUCGACGCAACGCGCAGAACCUUACCCAGCCUUGACUUCCAAGGAACCUGGUGGAAACACUGGGGUGUCCUCGCAAGAGGAAGCCUUGAGACAGGUGC
rnacentral:rRNA from 1 species